UGCUUUCUCAGUCCUAGGGAAUUUUGUGGGCACUCGAGCUCAGAAACGUCCCAGGCAUGUAAGCAAGCUUUAUUCUUAUUUGCGUCUGGGCUCCAAGGAGAAAAUGGGGGGUUCCAAGUGCCAGCUUACACAACGCUCUCAUGGAGGCACAGAGACGGUCUCUGCAGCUGUGUUUCUGGGAUGAGAAGUGUAAGUGCUGCACUGUGAACCCGGGAGGCAUUCACUAAAUAUUGUGGAAGAUGACGUGAGUGGAGCCAUAUUAAAAUAGAGCCAGAGCAGCCACUUUGGAGGCAUUGCCUUGCACAUCUUGUUUUCCCUAUCUUGCAAACUGGACCAAAAUGCCAACAUUCCAAGAAGUCAGUAAGGAUAAGAAUAUCCUGUCUGUAAGGACUGAUGAAACUAGACUUUUCUGAUGACUGCAUUGCUAACCAAUCAGUGAAGUACAAGUCUAGCGUUUGCCUGAAGAUCGACCUCAGGUCAAUCUAAGAAGUCGAAAUCCAGCCUCACCUUACCCAACACCAACGCACUCUUCUUUAAUACAGCUCACUUCAUCCUCCCCCUUUGCCAUAAAAACCCUAAGCUCUUCUCCUAUAAUCAGGACACUAUUUGGGUUUGUACGUGAAUCUGUGCUCCCCAAAUUGCAAUUCGUUGAUCCCAAAAAAACGCUUUGCCUCUUAAACUGGUUUCUGUUUUUGUGGGUUGACAAUAUCUUCUUGAAUCUGGGGUCAGGACAUCUGGGUUUGAGGCUUGCAAUUAGUGGCUGUGUGACCCAGGUCGUCAGAUCUUUC
rnacentral:lncRNA from 1 species